CACAGAGGACCCAGCAUGGAGUGAGGGCUGAGCUGGGUUUUCCUUAUUGCCAUUUUAGAAGGUGUCCAGUGUGAGGUGCAGCUGGUGGAGUCUGGGGGAGGCUUGGUUCAGCCCGGGGGGUCCCUGAGACUCUCCUGUGCGGCCUCUGGAUUCACCUUCAGUAGCUAUGACAUGAAUUGGAUCCGCCAGGCUCCAGGGAAGGGGCUGGAGUGGGUCUCAGCUAUCAGUACUGGUGGUAGCACGUACUACGCAGACUCCGUGAAGGGCCGAUUCACCAUCUCCAGAGACAACGCCAAGAACUCGCUGUAUCUGCAGAUGAACAGCCUGAGAGCCGAGGACACGGCCGUGUAUUACUGUGCAGGUUACACAAUGAGGGGAAGUCAGCGUGAGCCCGGACACAAACCUCCUGCAGGGGUCCCCGCCACCACCAGGGGGCGUCCGGGCGCUGUGCACGGGGCUGUCUCGGGCAGGUGCAGGUGCUGCUGAGGGCUGGCUUCCUGUCAUGGUCUGGGGCUGCCUCGUUGUCACAUUUCCCCAGGGAACCUCCAGGAUUUACAAUUCUGUACUAACCUUUAAUGUCUCUAAAUGCAAAACUUUUUGUUCUCCUUUUCGUUUCUUUUUGUAACAGCAAAUCCUCACAUCACAGUUUUAAUUCCACAGUGUCACUUUGGGGGCAGAUAUAAUCCUUUCCUGGUCAACAGAAUGAGAGUCCUGAAGAAUCCCUGGGAAACCUGGGGAGAGUUCUCCAGCUGGACUCAGGGCAGAGACCUCCAUUUGAUUAGAACAGGCUUUGAGUUCCGAUGGGAGCCAAGGGACAGGCUCACCCAGGGUCAGGGUCCUUAAAACCUGAUGGUAUCACAGCUGUCUCCCUCGUCUUGUAAAACUGCGCACAUCUGACUCAGACUGAUUCAGUUAACCCUCUUUCUAUUCCGUUUUCCUUCUCUGUAGACUUGAUUCUCACAGUUCCCUUUCUUCUCUUCCCUGAAAACGGAGGAUGUGUUUUCUGUAGUCAAAAUCCCAGGGCUCAGGUCUGCAGGACGGGGGUAGGCUGAGGGACUUUCUCACUCCCCAUUGCCUGGAUGCUCCUGGUGUCUUCUGUGCAUGGAGGUAUUUGGGAAAUGAACUGGACAUUAGCGAUGAAGGGAAUAAUAUUCAUAUUAAUAUUAUUCAUAGUAAUACAUAGUAUAACAGGGUUAACUGAAUCAGUCUGAGUCAGAUGUGCAGCUUUUUACAAGA